GGGGNAACGAACCCCCGGCGCGGAACGCGCCAAGGAAAACCGAAACGAAGCGCCCGGCCCCCUCCUCCCGCCCCGUGCGCGGUGUGCGCGGACGGGGGCACGGCGCGCUUCUUCAAUGUCAAAACGACUCUCGGCAACGGAUAUCUCGGCUCUCGCAUCGAUGAAGAACGUAGCGAAAUGCGAUACUUGGUGUGAAUUGCAGAAUCCCGUGAACCAUCGAGUCUUUGAACGCAAGUUGCGCCCGAAGCCUUUGGGCCGAGGGCAAGCCAGCCUGGGCAUCAAGCAUUGCGUUGCCCCCCUCCCCCAUCCGCUAGACGGAAGCGGGUGCGGCGGGGGCGGAUGCUGGCNUCCCGUGCAUCCACGUGCGGUUGGCCCAAAUCGGAUCCCYCGGMGACGCACGUCGCGACGAGUGGUGGUUGAUUGUUCGGCUCGCUCGCUGUCAGUUCGCGCCCCGAUGUGUUGUCCGACCGGGAAUCACGAAAGACCCAGGGCGCAGAACGCGCCUCCGACGGCGACCCCAGGUCAGGCGGGAUUACCCG
rnacentral:rRNA from 1 species